UACAGAGGGGGCAAGCGUUGCUCGGAAUUACUGGGCGUAAAGGGCGCGUAGGCGGGAUGGCAAGUCGGUCGUGAAAUCCUUCGGCUCAACCGAAGAACGUCGGCCGAUACUGCCGUUCUUGAGGGAUGCAGAGGAGAUUGGAAUUCCUGGUGUAGCGGUGAAAUGCGCAGAUAUCAGGAGGAACACCGGUGGCGAAGGCGGGUCUCUGGGCCGAUACUGACGCUGAGGAGCGAAAGCGUGGGGGAGCGAACAGG
rnacentral:rRNA from 1 species